rnacentral:rRNA from 1 species
CUACGUGCCAGCAGCCGCGGUAAUACGUAUGUCACAAGCGUUAUCCGGAUUUAUUGGGCGUAAAGCGCGUCUAGGUGGUUAUGUAAGUCUGAUGUGAAAAUGCAGGGCUCAACUCUGUAUUGCGUUGGAAACUGCAUGACUAGAGUACUGGAGAGGUAAGCGGAACUACAAGUGUAGAGGUGAAAUUCGUAGAUAUUUGUAGGAAUGCCGAUGGGGAAGCCAGCUUACUGGACAGAUACUGACGCUAAAGCGCGAAAGCGUGGGUAGCAAACAGGAUUAGAUACCCUGGUAGUCCACGCCGUAAACGAUGAUUACUAGGUGUUGGGGGUCGAACCUCAGCGCCCAAGCUAACGCGAUAAGUAAUCCGCCUGGGGAGUACGUACGCAAGUAUGAAACUCAAAGGAAUUGACGGGGACCCGCACAAGCGGUGGAGCAUGUGGUUUAAUUCGACGCAACGCGAGGAACCUUACCAGAUCUUGACAU